UACGUAGGGGGCUAGCGUUGUCCGGAAUUAUUGGGCGUAAAGAGCUCGUAGGCGGUUUGUCGCGUCUGCUGUGAAAACCUCAGGCUCAACCUGGGGCUUGCAGUGGGUACGGGCAGACUAGAGUGCGGUAGGGGUGACUGGAAUUCCUGGUGUAGCGGUGGAAUGCGCAGAUAUCAGGAGGAACACCGAUGGCGAAGGCAGGUCACUGGGCCGCAACUGACGCUGGAGGAGCGGAAAAGCAUGGGGAGCGAACAGG
rnacentral:rRNA from 1 species